ACUCAGUCUCUAUUCCACUCUCUUGGUAGCGAUGGAGAAAUCAUUUCUCAUUCUCUUCCUGCUUAUGCUCACUCUAAUUAAUUUCCUGCAUGUGACUCUAGGGGCACAUGCAGACAUCAACAUAGCAUGUGGGACAACUGAUCCUUUCGCUGAUUCGUAUGGGAAUUACUGGAUGGGGGACGAUCAGUUCAUCCAAUCAGGAUCGACUGCAACGGUUCAGAAUACGAGCCAAUAUUCUCAACUCCUGUCCACCGUCCGUUUCUUCGAUGAUCCAAACACGAAUUGCUACACAAUCCCUAUUCUGACUCAGACGAACAAAAUUGACGUCGUUGCCUUCUUCCUGUAUGGUAAUUACGACGACAAGGCACAGCCACCUUCCUUUAAGCUCCAAAUCGAUGACAGUGAGUGGGCAGACGUUGAGACUUCAAUGGAUGAUCUGGCAGCGUAUGGGAUGACCUAUUGGCCUGAGGGGAACAACGUCAGUGUAUGCCUUGCUCGGAACGAAACUGCAGGCGUGCCCUUCAUUUCUGCCAUACAAAUGAGCACAAAGGCUCCUUCCCCUGAUCCGAGCACGGAGGCUCCUUCCCCUGAUCAGAACACGGAUACCAGUCCGCCAAUAAUAGUGUUUAACAACAUAAUAUUGGCUCCUGCAAAGGCCAGCCCAAAUGCGAGCGAAAAUCCGAGCCCAAAUGCGAGCCCAAAGGAUAAGUUCGAAGAAUUCAUUAUUCUGGUCACUCUCCUCCCUAGCGGGACCUUCAUCACCCUUGUUGUCUCUGUCAUUGCUUGGAUGAAGAAAAGAAAGAAGAACAAGAAGGCUCAUAUAAACAGCAAUUCGGAUGUCGCAGGUGCUGCAAACCAGCAGAAGUCUGAGGUAGAGGAUAAAAGCAAAGAUGAAGUUUAGGGGACGGACAACUGAAGGUAGUUGCCUUCUAUACAAGCAAGUAUAACUGCUUGGGCCUUCAGAAGGUGAUUGCAAAUAGAAGGAAACAGUGAUGUGGAUGUUGUGCUCUCCUGAUAGUUUAUGAUGCCCAACUCAGUCUCAAUAUUUUAGGAAUUAGAUGUUGG